rnacentral:lncRNA from 1 species
UGGGUGAGCCGAGAGCUCUGCUGGCCACUGCCCUUUCCCCGCCUGGUCUGAGUGACAUUGAGCGCACCAUCCUUCUACUAAAGGAGGUUGGAGCACUUGCAGUGAGUGGGCAGAGAGAAGAUGAAAACCCCCAUGAUGGUGAAUUGACCUUCUUAGGAAGAGUUUUAGCCCAACUUCCUGUAAAUCAGCAACUUGGUAAACUCAUAGUCCUUGGACAUGUAUUUGGAUGUCUAGAUGAAUGUCUUAUUAUAGGUAAGUGUGAGAACAAAUAAAUGCUAAUGGGAAGUUUAUAUAACACCACUCUCACAAUCUUACAUUCUUCUUGUUUAUUUUUUAUGGUUAGC